rnacentral:rRNA from 1 species
UGAGGAAUAUUGGUCAAUGGACGCAAGUCUGAACCAGCCACGUCGCGUGAAGGAAGACGGCCCUACGGGUUGUAAACUUCUUUUAUACGGGAAUAAAGUGCCCCACGUGUGGGGUUUUGCAUGUACCGUAUGAAUAAGGAUCGGCUAACUCCGUGCCAGCAGCCGCGGUAAUACGGAGGAUCCGAGCGUUAUCCGGAUUUAUUGGGUUUAAAGGGUGCUCAGGCGGGGGGUUAAGUCGGCGGUGAAAUUUUGCAGCUCAACUGUAAAAGUGCCUUCGAAACUGGUUCCCUUGAGUGCGGAUGAGGUAGGCGGAAUUUGUGGUGUAGCGGUGAAAUGCAUAGAUAUCACGAGGAACUCCGAUUGCGCAGGCAGCUUACCAAGCCGUAACUGACGCUCAAGCACGAAGGCGUGGGGAUCAAACA